UUUUUUACUACAGCUUUUAAGUGCAGACUUCUGACCUUCGAUUUUUUUUUACUUUGCUAAUUUUUGCCAGUUUGUAAAAGAAAAAAAAAUAGAUUAAAAGAAAAACAAAAAUAAAAUCGAAGUGCAGAUUACAAAUGCAUUGAAAAUCGAAGUUUGUAAAAGUAAGGAAUUCAAUGUAAAAAUCAAUGACAAAUAAGGAAGAAUAAAAAAAAACGCAUGAAUGUUUAAACAAGAAGAAAAAAAAAUCCAAAACCUAUAAAAGGAAAAAUAAGGAAAAUAAAUUACAAAUGCGUAUAAAAAUAAAUCCAAAAAUUAAAAGCAAUCUCAUAAGUAAAAGUAAUCUAAUCUCUUAACCACUACCCUUUUAUUUCAUUCACAUCACUUUUUUUAACUUUCUUAGUCUCUGUGCUCAC
rnacentral:lncRNA from 1 species